UACGGAGGGGGCUAGCGUUGUUCGGAAUCACUGGGCGUAAAGCGCACGUAGGCGGAUUCUUAAGUCAGGGGUGAAAUCCCGGAGCUCAACUCCGGAACUGCCUUUGAUACUGAGGAUCUCGAGUUCGGGAGAGGUGAGUGGAACUGCGAGUGUAGAGGUGAAAUUCGUAGAUAUUCGCAAGAACACCAGUGGCGAAGGCGGCUCACUGGCCCGAUACUGACGCUGAGGUGCGAAAGCGUGGGGAGCAAACAGGG
rnacentral:rRNA from 1 species